rnacentral:lncRNA from 1 species
AUGCCACGGUGGGUGCAUGAGCAAGUCAGCUACACCUGUGAGAGCACCAAGCAUGCUAUGGAUGCUCUGUUUGAGCACAACCUUUUGCAGAAGUUUUCUCUGAAGGUGCUUGCAAUGAGAGGUCCUCACCCUGCUCCCUGCACAAGAGGCACUGGGGCUGCUGAGCACCCCUGCACCCCUGAGGCAGCUCCAUCAAUGCAGCCAACAUCACAAAGUGCACAAAGAGACAUGCCUUGCGUGGGGGAAGAGGGGCACUGGGAAGAGGCUGUGUUGGGAAGGACCUGCCUAGAAGAUGAAGGUGCUUUCUAUGCCACCUGGCUUAUUUGAGGGCAGUAAUUAGUGGCCAACGGGUGUGUAGACCUGGAAUAUCUGUGUACAAACUACAGUCAACAGAGAAACGAGAAUGCAAAAGAAUUGCCAAAAUGACGAGAUCCUGGAUAUCCCGCAUUCUCAAGUUUGGCGCAGAUUUGUCUGCUCUAAAUGUGUCUUGGACUGAGUGCCGGAGUGUUUUAAGCAUCCAGUGCAUGGCCAGCUGUAAACUGCUGCUUUCAGAUCACAGGGCUGCCAUCCAUGAACAAUUCUCUUCUGGCAAUAUGACAUAAACCUACUUCUCUGACAGUCUAAUUCUUACUGCUCAUUGUGGAAGAGAACAGCAUGAAAAUAGUACACACCUGAAUACAAAAGAGGCAAGCCUUCCUGUGUUCAAAAACAGAAUGAGAUUGUAUUAAAAAAAAAAAAAAAAAGUAGAUUAAAAUGGACUGUUGAGAAAGGAAAGACACAAGGGAAAACAAUGGUUCGGUCAAUGCUGUGGGAUGAAGUAGGGGUCUCCACCACCAAAAAUGAAGAUGCUCCUCAGGCUGAACUGCACAGGGUGGCACAACAAGCAUAAGAUGUCUGUCUGUUCUUAGAGAACACAACAAGACAUCUGGACCAUCUACACCUACAGAUCGCUACAUCCUUGAGUAAAAGGUAAUUAAAUUUGCAACGGAUACCAGAAAAUUAUGACAAGCACUUUCAUGGCAUGUAACUGAGGUUAGGAUGAGCAGUGGGUUUGAGGCUGAGCUGGAACAGGAGAAGAUUAUGAACAACUGAUGUGCAGAGAUUUUUAUUAAUAUGAGGAAGGAAAGUUUGAAAUGAAUGCCUUUCAUGAAAAGCAAAAUCAUUAAUUACUAACAUUAGCUAUUUCUAUAUAUACAUGCAUGUCAUUAAAGCUUGCAUUUUGUAUAGGAGUAGCUCUUUUCUCCAUAAUUUAUACUGCUCGGUGACACUGUAUACUUUGGUUUUGUUUUUCUUUUGUCUUUCAUUGAUAAAGGAGUUUGAGCUGGAGGAAGGAAAAGCACGAGACUCAUUCCAGAAUACAUUUGCCAGUCAUCCUUGCAGUGUUGAUUUAAAUUUGUAACCUAAAGCUAGUAGCAUUAGGACAUAAUUAGAUCUGAAAGAUUUAAAAAGUAAAAGAUUGAAUUAGGAACACUGACGAGAUCAGGAACAAAAUGUCUGUUCUGGAGACAGUCUGGACUGUUUUUUCUACCAAGUGCACCUUCAAUUUUAUAGUGAUUGCAAACCAUAAUAAAGUGCCUGAAACACAGAUAAAAGGUCA